rnacentral:rRNA from 1 species
AUACGGAGGGUGCAAGCGCUACUCGGAAUCACUGGGCGUAAAGGACGCGUAGGCGGGUUGUCAAGUCUGAUGUGAAAUCCUAUGGCUCAACCAUAGAACUGCAUUGGAAACUGGCAACCUAGAGUAUGGGAGGGGGAGAUGGAAUUAGUGGUGUAGGGGUAAAAUCCGUAGAUAUCACUAGGAAUACCGAAAGCGAAGGCGAUCUCCUGGAACAUAACUGACGCUAAGGCGCGAAAGCGUGGGGAGCAAACGGGAUUAGAAACCCUAGUAGUCC